rnacentral:rRNA from 1 species
UACGAGGGGGGCGAGCGUUGUUCGGAAUUAUUGGGCGUAAAGGGUGCGUAGGCGGUUCCGCAAGUCCUGUGUGAAAUCUUCGGGCUCAACUCGAAGUCUGCACGGGAAACUGCGGGGCUUGAGUGUGGGAGAGGUGAGUGGAAUUCCCGGUGUAGCGGUGAAAUGCGUAGAUAUCGGGCGGAACACCUGUGGCGAAAGCGGCUCACUGGACCAUAACUGACGCUGAUGCACGAAAGCUGGGGGAGCAAACAGG